AACAUUGACUAGAUCUGUCUCUUCUCUUCUUUCAGAUGUGGAUUUUAUGGAAUAGAUGCUAUGUGGUGGAAUCCUGAGUCACGGCCAAACAGCAAAUGCCAGCAAGAGUAGAGUAGGAGGCAUUUCUGUGUACACUUUGGGAAAAAGUCCAUUCCUCACUUGGUUUCAUUUCUGGCCUGAGCCGCUGUGUCCUCCACCUGAAGCCCUGACCUCUCCGUUACUGACUGGAUCCCAAUGUGCCACAGUUCACCUGCAUAAGGAGGGGGUCGAAGACAAGAAAACUGUGAGAGGCUAAGUAAUUUGCUGAGCUCAUAUGACAUCUAAAUGGCAGAGCUCAGAAACCUCAGGGAUUAGAGUGAAGUAGGUGAGGAAAUGAGACAUCAAAAGAUUAAGUGACUUGCUAAAAUUUACACUGCCUACGAAAGCUGACCUGGAAUGUGAACCAGAAAUUGUCCUUAACCAAAUCACCUCACUGUCUCUCAAGAGAUGGGGUCUCACUACAUUGCCCAGGCUGGCUCUCAAAUUCCUGGCCUCAAACGAUCCUCUUGCCUUGGCCUCCCAAUAUGCUGGGAUUACAGGCAUGAGCCAACACACCCAGCUGUGAGUAUUUUUUAUCAGGAAGAAGCUUUUGGCUGUAAGAACAGAAAGUUCCAACUCUACCAACUUGCAC
rnacentral:lncRNA from 10 species